UACAGAGGUCUCAAGCGUUGUUCGGAUUCAUUGGGCGUAAAGGGUGCGUAGGCGGCGCGGUAAGUCGAGUGUGAAAUCUCGGAGCUUAACUCCGAAACUGCAUUCGAUACUGCUCGGCUCGAAGACAGGAGAGGGAAGUGGAAUUCCCGGUGUAGUGGUGAAAUGCGUAGAUAUCGGGAGGAACACCAGUGGCGAAGGCGACUUUCUGGCCUGUUCUUGACGCUGAGGCGCGAAAGCUAGGGGAGCAAACGGG
rnacentral:rRNA from 1 species